UUAUCGGAGAGUUUGAUCCUGGCUCAGGACGAACGCUGGCGGCGUGCUUCACACCUGCAAGUCGAACGAAGCGCCCGGGAGAGCUUGCUCGAAUGGGCGACUUAGUGGCGAACGGGUGAGUAACGCGUGGAUAACCUGCCCCUGAGAUUGGAAUAACAGCCGGAAACAGCUGCU
rnacentral:rRNA from 1 species